rnacentral:rRNA from 1 species
UACGUAGGGAGCGAGCGUUGUCCGGAAUCAUUGGGCGUAAAGCGCGCGUAGGCGGCCCGAUAAGUCCGCUGUAAAAGUCAACGGCUCAACUGUUGAAAGCCGGUGGAUACUGUCGGGCUAGAGUACGGAAGAGGCAAGUGGAAUUCCUGGUGUAGCGGUGGAAUGCGCAGAUAUCUGGAGGAACACCGGUGGCGAAGGCGGCGUCCUGGACCAACACUGACACUGAUGAGCGAAAGCCAGGGGAGCAAACGGG